UGGACAGGACAGAACUCAUCUUCUCCACUUAACCACUCGAUGUAUAAUGUAUAUGUGUAUCUCUAUAUAUUUAGAGAUAAGAGAGAGAAGCAAACAUGGCAUAAAACAAAGACUUCAGUGUCAUCUCGCAAGAUCACUUGGUGGAAAAACUUCUCUCUCUUUUGCUUUUCCCAUUUGCCAAUCACCAUCUCGUUCUCUCUCUCUCCAACCGUGAAAGGAAAUCCCAACAAGCAAACGUGUCCGUGUGGCAUGUAAUCUGGCCAAAGGGAAUAAACAAAAGCACAGCCUAAACUUGUCAAUGAUCGGCUCGGCGAAACAAAAUUACUUGCAAACUUUGUGUACCGGAAAAGGAAGGGAAAAACAAUAUGGAUCCCUCAUUCGACACCAUGACACAUGAGCCAGCAAGAAGAUAUCCUGCAGGUUGAGAAUAACUCAGACACACCAAACCAAGAGCGCAACAUGCACAACAGCUCGAACUCCACCUCACUAUAAAGGAGAUGAUUGGGGCUUUGUCAUCCUUGCACAUUCAACACCAACUAGAGAUCAUCUCCCUUUCCUUGAGUUGUCCAUUGUUAAGAUUUAUGUUAUAUGGACUCGAUUAUGUGUCUUGGCUAGGAUUUUCAUCUGUAUUGCAUAUAUCAAAAAAAUCUAAAAAAAGACAAGGGAACAAGGCUAAAUAUUUAUUCUUUUAAUAUUUUCUACAUUUUAUGGUGCGAAAUGGUAUUUUUGUGUAACAUAGAUUUUUCAAUAUAGACCCUCAUUUUCAAACAAUGUAAAUAAAAGAAACAUCAUAAUAGAGGUUUAUCUAUAUUAUAUCAUAAACUUUAAAUUGUUGGAUAUGUUUACUAGGUGCAUGUCCAACAGAUGUGUCGCACACAAAGUGCAUACACAUAACCAUACGUCGUGCGUUCAACAUGGCUACUUUAAAUAUUUAGAAAAAUCCAUGUAACAUGGACCAAGAUUGCCUCCAUGGCAUCUGUGCACACACAAACAGAUACAUUGGAGGGCACUUUAACCUUCCCAAAUUUCUUUUUAAGAAAAUCCAGACCCAUCUCGUCCAUGCAAUUAUUCUUGUCAAGGAUCUACCUAUUAGGUCCUCCACCUCCUCACACAUAGAUGAGAUAUACAAGAAAUCAAAGAGAUCACCCAUGGAGUCAAACCCUCAGUCCAAGUAACCUAUAAAAGUGGGGAGCCACCAAAUCACACCACUAUUACCCAAAUCGUUCCUCAAACUUGACACUACUUUAAAGCACUUAAAAACACAUAGAAGAUACCUCCAAUGCCCCUUCUUGCCCACGAAAAAUGAUAGCAUCAACAUACAUCAGCAAAAAGAAGAUGGGAUACUGCUAAAUAAUAGCCUCCCUCACCAACCACAAACCUGCACCAAUAGCCACAUCCAUUGUCCUGCUAGUCAUCCUACCCAACGCCUUCAUCACUGUAUCAAAAAGAAAGAUACUGGGUAUCUCUCUAUCUAAACCCCCUCGAGCUAGAAGAACCCCAUUGGAAACCAUUUACUAGGAUAAGGAAGUCAAUUAUUGAUAUAUACUCCUUUUUCCACUACCUUCAUUUCUGCCCAAAAACUGUUGUAGUCAAUGACAUGAAGCAAAAAGCCCUAGUGAACAUGUUCAUAAGCUUUCUUGGUUAUGAUAUGUCAUUGGGUUUUAUAAAAUGACUUAUACUUAGUUUAGAUAGGUUUCAUGAGUCAAAGCUUGAAGUAUAAAAAUUUCAAGCCAGCAUUCUCGUAGAAAAACCUGGUAAUUUAUAUAGGUUUAUGUACUUAAAUUCGAAAAAUAUCAGUUUAGAGAUUUGGUAAUGGUUUUUGAAACUUAUGGGACUAUAUAAUGAAAUUCUAGUCCUAGCUGUGACGCCUAUACGAAUAAAAUUGUAAUGCCUGACUUUUUUUCCUUCUCUUCUUGUUUUCUUUAGUUUUAUGCACUUCUAUAAACUUUGAUGAAAGAAGAAAAUCUUGUUAUACUUUAUAUUAGUGUAACCCUUCUACCUUUCAAUUAUUAAAUCGUAGUCACAUAAAGGGACUCAAAACAACCAAGAAUUCUGUUCAUACCCACACCCAACACGCGUACCCAAGUCCAUGUACCAUAGGCUAAGAACAUAGGAUGAGUUUCCCAAUAAAUAUAAGAUCAGAUUGGUUGACAUUUCCAGCUAUAUGAGAUAUUUGUACCCAUCAAAAGCAAUAUUAUUAUAAGACAAAAAAACAUAAAUAUAAUAAUAUUAUUAUAAGACAAAACCAUAUGGUAUCACCAAGAUAAAUGUUAACAUAUAUAGUUAAUCAACUAAUAAUCCAAUGAUAAAAAAAUAAUAAUAAUAAAUAAAAAAAUU